rnacentral:rRNA from 1 species
UACGUAGGGGGCGAGCGUUGUCCGGAAUCAUUGGGCGUAAAGCGCGUGUAGGCGGCUUGGUAAGUCUGGUGUGAAACCUCGGGGCUCAACCCCGAGCCUGCACUGGAUACUGCCUCGCUCGAGUCCGGGAGGGGAGAGCGGAAUUCCUAGUGUAGCGGUGAAAUGCGCAGAUAUUAGGAAGAACACCGGUGGCGAAGGCGGCUCUCUGGAACGGUACUGACGCUGAGACGCGAAAGCGUGGGGAGCAAACAGG